rnacentral:ncRNA from 1 species
AUAAAUAGAGGCGCAUUUAAUGUGGUAGUUUAAAGGUGUUAAUGGGGUAGCAUCCAAAUACUUUAAAAUGAAGGACGUAAUUGCCGAAAGAAAAAAAUCAGCUAGAAUUUUUUUCUUGGGGUUUACAGGUAAUCUGUAAAAACUGUCAUAGCAAGAUUGCUAUGGAGAGCUAUUUGU